GCUAAUGUAGCUUAAUGAAAGCAUAUCACUGAAGAUGUUAAGAUGGACCCUAAAAAGUCUCAUGGGCA
rnacentral:tRNA from 1 species